GUCCAAUAAGCACAGCCACUCAUGGUUUCUCAGGUCUCUCAGAGUACUUAUACAAUCUCAUUUUAGCUCCUGCCUCAAGACACUUGGAAACUUAUACGGUGGUGCUGUCCUUUACAUCUUGCAUCUUAUUCCAUGGACCAGCAUUAAUACAAGAUAAUGGGUGUUCACUUUUCAAAAUAUAAUUAUGAGAAUGAUCAGAAGACUGAAGGAGUGGCAGCAGGACUACACAGAUUGAAUGCAUUUUCCUGGUACAGAAGCAGAUGUUGUUCCUCUUUAAGAUUUUCACUGGAGUCGCUUGCAAGAGAAGGGGAAAAGCAAGGUGGAGUGCUGACUGGUUCUGACUUCAACAACAGAGCAAACAGCCCCCUGUGUGUGUGAAGAGACAGAAAAGUGUGUGACCAUCACCCUCCUACAAUUGCUCACAAUUUAAAAGCCAGCCAGCAGCAGGAACAGGAAGAGAAAAGGUCACAAGAGGACAGUGUCCAUGGCCAGCAUCAGGUUUCACAGAAGGGACCAUAAGGGAGAAAAUGAAAAACAUUUGGACUUAAUUAAGGCACUAAUCUGGAAAAAUGAGGAACAGUUGAAAGCUGCAGAGUUGGGGCAUUGUAUAAACUUCUUUUCUUGAUCACAAAGUAAGCUUGCAGUAGCUUCUGCUACUGAGAAUAAGGGAGGAAGAGGUUGGUAGGAACUGGGGCUCUGAGGUCUCCCCUAGAGCACUGUGUUUUAUAGGGAAGUAGCAUCAAUAAAGGCAAGGGAGGGAGUACAAAAGGAAAGGGGACUGUAAGAAAAAUUACAUACAUUGCUUAGAGCUUUGCUCCCUAACAUAGUGCUUUCACAUCUUUGAAAAUAUGUAUUUCUCCUAGAAGUAGCUUUUCAGUUGUCAUCUUAAAUUUUUCUGCUAGAAAAUUCUCUGUGUGCUUAUAAAUAGUAUAUAAACAACAGGUAAAUACUGACUUAUAUAAAAUAACAUUGUAGAUAAUAUGCACAUAUAUUUGCUUGCAUUUAUCUUAAAAGAAAAAAAAAGAUGGCACAAUA